rnacentral:rRNA from 1 species
AUUGAACGCUGGCGGCAGGCUUAACACAUGCAAGUCGAACGAGUGGCGGACGGGUGAGUAAUGCUUGGGAAUCUGCCUUAUGGAGGGGGAUAACGACUGGAAACUGUGGCUAAUACCGCAUACCAUAGGAUGAGCCCAAGUGGGAUUAGCUAGUUGGUGGGGUAAUGGCCCACCAAGCCGACGAUCUCUAGCUGGUCUGAGAGGAUGACCAGCCACACUGGGACUGAGAGACGGCCCGGACUCCUACGGGAGGCAGCAGUGGGGAAUAUUGCGCAAUGGGGGCAAGCCUGACGCAGCCAUGCCGCGUGAAUGAAGAAGGCCUUAGGGUUGUAAAGUACUUUCGGUAGUGAGGCGUUACCUGCAGAAGAAGCACCGGCUAACUCCGUGCCAGCAGCCGCGGUAAUAC